AACGAACGCUGGCGGCAGGCUUAACACAUGCAAGUCGAGCGCCCCGCAAGGGGAGCGGCAGACGGGUGAGUAACGCGUGGGAAUCUACCGUGCCCUAAGGAAUAGCUCCGGGAACCUGGAAUUAAUACCUUAUACGCCCUUCGGGGGAAAGAUUUAUCGGGGUAUGAUGAGCCCGCGUUGGAUUAGCUAGUUGGUGGGGUAAAGGCCUACCAAGGCGACGAUCCAUAGCUGGUCUGAGAGGAUGAUCAGCCACAUUGGGACUGAGACACGGCCCAAACUCCUACGGGAGGCAGCAGUGGGGAUAUUGGACAAUGGGCGCAAGCCUGAUCCAGCCAUGCCGCGUGAGUGAUGAAGGCCCUAGGGUUGUAAAGCUCUUUCACCGGUGAAGAUAAUGACGGUAACCGGAGAAGAAGCCCCGGCUAACUUCGUGCCAGCCGCCGCCGUAAAAC
rnacentral:rRNA from 1 species